UGUAGGCUGAGGGCUCAGUGCAACAAAAACUUGAGUUGCCCACAGAACAGCUACUCUGAUUCAGAUGAAAGCUGGGGAGGACUUCGGUCCUUCUUGGAAAAUACUUGUGCUUUUUUGUUGAUUGUUCUUGUUCCCAACAGAGACAGAAGUGAACUAAUCUCCCAAACUGGGAUGCUCAGAGAUGUCCAAAGUGAGAUAGGACUGGCAAGAAUACAAUACACAGAUUAAUAAGGAAGUCAUUAAGGGAUAGAAAAGCUCUGAUGUGAUGGAGUGGCUUUUAGUUUGAAGAAAAAUAGAAUGUCUUGCUCCUGAGUACCCUGAACAAUGAAGAUGAAGAUACCUGUUCCAGAAAGUAGACUUGGACCCCCAAGUUGUUUCAUACUUAGGUCCUGGGAAAUUAACUGCAAGGAGCCACUGUAAGGUGCUAGACCUGAAGUUCCCAUCCUGUGGUCCAAGAAAAGCUGGCACAUCACAUGAUUUGGAGUGGCAGAGUUGCACAUGAAGCAUGUAGGAUGAGGUGCCACGUGGCAACAGCUUUCUCUUCUGGCUGUGCUGAGGAGCUCUCAGCACACUGUACUCCCACCUGAGAUCACAAUGGUGGCUGAGAAAUCUUUGUUGCUCCCUUUUCUCCCAUCAGCAACACUCAUAUCCAGGCUGAAUAAAUCCUUCAACAGCAUUCUUUGCUUGUGGCCGUUUGAUGUGCUUCCAAGCAGCUACAAACAUGGGAGACACCCAAACUGCUUAGUGCCAGAAAGGCUGAAACUGCACUGCCAUGGGAGCCUGAACGGCAGAGGGGCCACCUGGCAGUGCCCUGCAGGACCCAAGGUGCUCACCCACCCACUACGCAAGAAGCUCCUCAUGUCCUUCCGCUCUGCGGUGGGCAGCACCUGGAGUGCCUUUCCUAGCUCUGAUUCUAUUCUUCUGCUCCAAAGCAACAAGCCAAACUCCCCACCAGCAUUCAACCUCCGUGCCAAAAAGAAAAUAACAAGAGUAAAAGCACUGCACAACAGAAACACAUAGGACAGUGAAGAGGCUGGGAUUGCUGGGGAGUCCAGCAUAGUCGCGUCGGGGUGCUCAGGAACCACUUUUUGAAAGUCAGAAGAUGCAAAGCAGACCUUCCACAAGGAUUCCCCAAGGAGCAGAGAAUUUGAGGAUCACUGCGAAGGGCAUCAUUGCUCCUUGCUGUUCAUCCCAAACUGUCUUCAUUCUCUCACCCUGUGUAUUCCUGCACAACGGGACUGAGGGAAGUGCAUGAGAUCUAUUGCUGAACUGUGGUGUGGAUAGACUUUGUCUUCCUCAGCUAGCAUUCUGUCACCUUUCAAGAGUGAAAAAUUCAUUUUUAAAACAAAAAUCCCAAGUAAGAAACCUCACAUAGUUGCAGGAAACCACCACAGAGGUAUACAAUAUCCAGCGGAAGACCUUGCUGAAAACUGAACAGAUUACUCUUGUUAUAUGUGGUUAAACUGGGCCAUUAAUGCUAAAACAGUUCAAAGCACAAAAUAAAUUCUGAUUUUCUCCUGUCAAAGUUGGUGGUUUGGUGUUCACACAUUCUAGGCUCCGGUUAAAUGAUUUACUGUACAAUUUAAUGCCUUUCAGCUGUCACUCGCAAAAAGGAUCCCUUGAAUGAUCUGCCAGUGAAUGAAGGCAGCACUUGCCCAGGGUGAAGUGUGGCCAGGGCUGCAGGACCCAACUUGCCAAGAUACUCAGGAACAAUCACGUAAGCCACUGUGACCCAUGUGUGGUACCCAGCGAAGUGAAGGCCACCUUGCUGUGAUCACAUCUGCAAAACCACUUCAUUUAAAGCAUACUGAGACGUUCACUCUGCUGUGGAACUUUUACGAGCAACUGCCUUUACAACAGCUCGCACCAUAGGCACGCUGCUAUUCUUUGUCCUUCUUUUGAACUCUUCUCUGCUCCCGGUCUUCCAGCGGUGUGAUUUUUUGAAGUUUUCCUUCACAAUAGCUUCUCAAAAUCCCAGUUCUCACAUAUCAACACAAAUAGGAGAAACAGUUGCCAUGGGACAGUGAAAAACAUAUUUCAGGAGCUCAGGAGCAAAGAAGGAAAUAAAAAAGGCACUGGAUUUCAGCAGUUACGUGUUGUAGUGUUUGACGUAGCUCUGAGUUCUUUGCUUUGUCUCUAGCUGCAGUGGUACUGUGCCUCUCAUGUUCAGCAGUGGGUGCACUCAGCAGUGGGUGCAGCUCUUAGCAGUGACCUCAUGGGGACACAGCAGUGCCCAGCACUGCAGCCAUGUUCUGUGGAACAGAGAGAAUACUGGUGUCACCUAAAACU
rnacentral:lncRNA from 1 species